rnacentral:rRNA from 1 species
UACGUAGGGUCCGAGCGUUGUCCGGAAUUAUUGGGCGUAAAGGGCUCGUAGGCGGUCUGUUGCGUCGGGAGUGAAAACUUACAGCUUAACUGUGAGCGUGCUUCCGAUACGGGCAGACUUGAGGUAUUCAGGGGAGAACGGAAUUCCUGGUGUAGCGGUGGAAUGCGCAGAUAUCAGGAGGAACACCGGUGGCGAAGGCGGUUCUCUGGGCCUUACCUGACGCUGAGGAGCGAAAGCGUGGGGAGCGAACAGG